rnacentral:ncRNA from 1 species
GAGGCCCAAGUCCAUUUAAUUUAGGCCCAGCCUAAAUCAAUCAGGCAACCAGGUGAGGUCCAGGCACCCGCACCACUGGUCUGUCUCACCUGCUACAACUAGGAGGUGGAGAGUGAGUGUGCGUGAUAGAACCCAAAAGAUGGUGAACUAUGCCUGAGCAGGAAACUGGUGGAGGUCUGUAGUGGUCCUGAUGUGCAAAUCAGUCAUCUGACCUGGAUAUAGGGGCAAAAGACUAGUUGAACCAUCUAUUCGCUGUUUCCCUCAAGAUUCUCAGGAUAUUCAGCUGGCAGUCGUCCAUCACAGUUUUAUCUGGUAAAAAGAAUGAGGUCUUGGCGACAAAAUUAUCUCAAACCUAUUAUCAAUAGUGCGAGCACGCCCAGUGGAUCACUUUUGGUAAGCGGAACUGGUGCUGGGGGAUGAACCAAACACUGGGUUAAAGUGCCCAAUGCUGAGUCUCAUCAGAACCCUGGAAAGGUGUUGGUUGAUAUAGACAGUGGUCAUGGAAGUUGGAAUUCGCUAAGGAGUGUGUAACAACUCAUCUGCCAAAUCAACUAGCACUGAAAAUGAAUGGCGCUGGAGCAUCACCAGUCACCACCGCUAAAGGCUCAUAAGUAAAAGUUUUUUCACAUUUUCCGAAUGUGGUUUUCAUUGAUUAAUUAUUAGGGUGGUGUUCACUGGAGUAACUACCUAUACAGCU